rnacentral:misc_RNA from 1 species
UUUGAAGCGACGUGUGUGUUGUUGUUUCGCUGUCAUUGCUGGAAUUCUUUUGAUGCAUUGGAAUUCUGUUGGUCUGUCACUUUAGCAUAUCUCACUCUCCUUCACCUAACAGAGCCUAAUCAUUCACAACUUGGAAAUUUCUUUAUCAACAUCUUCCUUUUGCUUUUGCUUUGAGUGUAAAAUAUCUCUGUUGCAUUGCUGUAACACAUUUUUGUAUAU